AUACACGGUGAACACAUCUCCUAGACAAGUCUCUUAGAUCCUGAUUUCAGCCAAAGUAUUAACUCCCAUGUCUUUUCUAUACAGAAGUUCUCAAGUUGCCACUGGUUACAUUAUUUCCAUUGGAAUACCUACUCCUAUAAAGACUUUCUAGUUCUUCAUAUAAGUACUUGUAGCGAAUGAGAGAAAUAACAAGCUUGGAUAGUUCUCAUUUAUGAAAAUCCGUGAUUUAAAUUAUGAUGAAAAGGUAACGUCAGAAAUCUGUUAUGUCUCUGAGAGGUCUGGAAUGAAAAUUAUUGAAAGAGAAUAAAAGGGGCCAGGCAUAGUGGCUCACACCUGUAAUCUCAGCACUUUGGGAGGCCAAGGCAGGUGAAUCACUUGAGGUCAGGAGUUUGAGAUCAGCCUGGCUAACAUGGUGAAAACCUGUCUCUACUAAAAACACAAAAAUUAACUGGGUGUGGUGGUGAGCACCUGUUAGUCCCAGCUGCUCUGGAGGCUGAGGCACGAGAAUUGCUUGAGCCCAGGAGGGAGAGGUUGCAAUGAGCUGAGAUCUUGCCACUGCACUCCAGCCUGGCCGACAGAGAGAGACUCCAUCUCAAACUCCAGCAUAGCUGACAGAGAGAGACUCCAUCUCAAACUCCAGCCUGGCCAACAGAGAGAGACUCCAUCUCAAAAAAAAAGGAGAAUAAAAGAAUGGGUUCUGCCAAUUGAUGGAGGAAGCUUCUAUUAAAAACUCCAAUGGGAUGAGAAGAAUUUUAAUUACGGCUUAAUCAGCAGCACAGCCACCAAGCAUAU
rnacentral:lncRNA from 1 species